GAUGAAGAACGCAGCGAAAUGCGAUACGUAGUGUGAAUUGCAGAAUUCAGUGAAUCAUCGAAUCUUUGAACGCACAUUGCACCUCUCGGUAUUCCGGGAGGUAUGCCUGUUCGAGCGUCAUUUGUACCCUCAAGCUCUGCUUGGUGUUGGGUGUUUGUUCCGCCUCUGUGUGUGAACUCGCCUCAAAACAAUUGGCAGCCGGCGCACUUGUUUCGGAGCGCAGCACAUUUUGCGAUCCAGUUCAACGUACAGCGGCAUCCAAGAAGCCUUAUUUAACGCUCUUGACCUCGGAUCAGGUAGGGAUACCCGCUGAACUUAAGCAUAUCAAUAAGCGGAGGA
rnacentral:misc_RNA from 1 species